rnacentral:rRNA from 1 species
UACGUAGGGGGCAAGCGUUGUCCGGAUUUAUUGGGCGUAAAGAGCUCGUAGGUGGUUCGGUAAGUCGGAUGUGAAAUCUUCAGGCUCAACCUGGAGGGGUCAUUCGAUACUGCCGUGACUAGAGGUCGGUAGGGGAGUGUGGAAUUCCUGGUGGAGCGGUGAAAUGCGCAGAUAUCAGGAGGAACACCCGUAGCGAAGGCGGCACUCUGGGCCGAUACUGACACUGAGGAGCGAAAGCGUGGGGAGCGAACAGG